ensembl:lncRNA
CUUUAUAUCUAAUAUAGAGGACGAUAAAUAAUGUAAUAGUACAAAUUAAAUGAAAUCUGACUGAAAUAGAUUAAGCCUUUUUGGCUGAAGUUCUUCCAUCUCUGUUUUCCAUUUGUUUAUUUCUAAAGAGACAAAGCCAAGUGCUGCAAUUUUGACUGAAAUGUCCCAAUCGGCCUUUUCUCUUGCAGUUUAUUUGGGGAACCUCAGCUGACUCAGCCGUUUAACCAGCUGCUGUAUCAAACCACUCAGGACCAUGAUGACGUUGGUGGUCGCCAGAGGACUUUGAGACAUCCAACGAAUAGGGGCAACUAGCAUGACGUCUUGGAUAGAGACGCUGUGUUCUCCGGUCUCCAGACUUUAUUAUCAGAUGGAGAUCAGGGGGCCAGGACUCUCUACAUGA